UACGAAGGGGGCUAGCGUUGCUCGGAAUCACUGGGCGUAAAGCGCACGUAGGCGGAUUGCUAAGUCAGGGGUGAAAUCCUGGAGCUCAACUCCAGAACUGCCUUUGAUACUGGCGACCUUGAGUCCGGGAGAGGUGAGUGGAACUGCGAGUGUAGAGGUGAAAUUCGUAGAUAUUCGCGAGAACACCAGUGGCGAAGGCGGCUCACUGGCCCGGUACUGACGCUGAGGUGCGAAAGCGUGGGGAGCAAACAGG
rnacentral:rRNA from 1 species